rnacentral:lncRNA from 1 species
AAUUACAGGAAACUGGAGGGUAGAACUAGCAUGGAGCAGAGAGAUACAGGAACUGGAGGGUAGAACUCGCAUGGAGCAGAGAGAAUACAGGAACUGGAGGGUGAACUAGCAUGGAGCGACGAGAGACAGGAACUGGAGGGUAGAACUAGCAUGGGCAGAGAGAAACAGGAACUGGGGGUAGAACUAGCAUGGGCAGAGAGAAGACAGGAACUGGAGGGUGAAACUAGCAUGGAGCAGGAGAAUACAGGAACUGGAGGGUAGAACUAGCAUGGAGCAGCAGAGAAUACAGGAACUGGAGGGUAGAACUAGCAUGGAGCAGAGGAAAGACAGGAACUGGGAGGUAGAACUAGCAUGGAGCAGAGAAAAGACAGGAACUGGAGGGUAGAACUAGCAUGAGAGAGAGAAUACACGGAACUGGAGGGUAGAACUAGCAUGGAGCAGAGAGAUACAGGAACUGGAGGUAGAACUAGCAUGGAGCAGAGAGAAUACAGGAACUGGAGGGUAGAACUAGCAUGGAGCAGAGAGAAUACAGGAACUGGAGGGUAGAACUAGCAUGGAGCAGAGCAAAGACAGGAGCUGGAAUGGAGCAGAGAAAAGACAGGAGCUGGAAUGGAGCAGAGAAAAGACAGGAGCUGGAGGGGUGGACCUGGGCAAGAAGAACUGAGACCCAUAUCAGAGUCAGGGCAUGACCAUGACCAGGACCAGACCCGCUUUCAAGGGCAGCCAAGCAACUCUGUAUCUGACAGUGUCAUGCUUCAUCACUUACACUCACCUGCAAUUUGAAUAGUCUGUCAUCAACUUUGACUUUACCAGGGGUAUUCGGCCUACCUGUUUGGGGCCUUUAUGUUCCACUGGGGUCAUUCCACUUCAAAAAGCACCAGAAAGAGGAUUUUGUCUCCCACCGUCUGACUUGUUUUGAAAUGGUUUCUGUGGUUAGUAACCGAUAUGAUUUAUAAUUCCUGAAACAUUAUUUUGUUUAAAUAUAAUUUGAUCACUGAGAAAUGAGUCUAGGAACUGAUUGCACCCAAAUUGGCCAUUUUUAAAUUCUAGGAUUCAGAUAGUAUUCAAUGAACAUAGUACCCAACAUUCGAUUUGGACCAAACUACUUCCUACCAAUGAGUUAGACAUGAGGACCCCCCCCCCCCACACCAUUUUGUUGUUGUUGUCAAAAGUCACCCAUGGACCCCUCAUUUCAACCCCAACAAGCAGUAUACAGUAUCAGUUCGAGCUGGCCGAUAAAUUGCCUGAAUUGAUGCUAUAACAAUAAAUAGAACAUUAAGUUUAUAACCAAUGUUCACCAUAUUAUCUUUUAAAUGAUCAUUUG